rnacentral:sRNA from 1 species
AUUUGACACACGAAUGUAUAGCAGUCAUUGGGAAACUCCACAGCUCAUGUUUUCCUCAUAGUAGAUGUGUGCUCCCAUCUCCAUGGAUUUGUCCCUCACAACCCCCACCCCAUGGUAAGUCAGGCCAGUGUCCUCCCAGCUGCAGAGCUGAGAAGGCUGCACAGUUGCCUACUGAGAACCUGCCUGCGGGUCAGAGCAAAGUGAGAACGGGCCCGUGCCCACUCACAGUGCUACUGUCGGCCCAAGCUCUUUGGGAUGUAGUGGAAAGUCAUGGUGGGUGCAGUGAGGAGAGAUGGAACCCAAGGUGCUGGCUACAGAGCUCACUUGUGUUUCGUUUCAGGGCUCUCUUUACCUAUGAAGGCAACAGCAACGACAUCCGCGUGGCUGGCACAGGGGGUGAGUAUGACUCCAAAUGGACUCGGGGACACCAGGAGAUAGGAGGGUGACGACCAGGGGUCAGCGCACUCAGCCGUCUUGGUCCACUGAGCCACAUGGGGCUUCCAGUGCUCACCGGCCACUUCUGGCAGGCCUUAGGUUUCAGAUAUGUGUAAGUGAAAACAUUCCUCCUUGGCUCUCCUUCCCUCUGGGUGCAGGGGAGUGCUUUCUCUUUGUCUACUUGGGGAGAGCUGAGAGGGAAACAGGCCUCUCCAGCUUGCGGGCAGCCUGCGUAGGGAGCUGCAGCAGGAAGCUCACCAGUCCCAGAACUGGUGCUGGUAGAAAGAAAGUCCACAGACAUAUCCUCUUCUCCCUUUGUCCUGCCCUGGUCUUGUGCUGAGUGCUUGCAGGGGCCCCAUCCUCACUGGGAGAGGCAGUAUCACUGCAGAUAGUCACAGGGGAGGCUCUGGGGGUCUCUACAGGAAGGACAGGCUCUUGGCCAGCACAGAGCAGAGGCUGUCAGGGUAGGCUUGGUCAGAGUGUGACCUGUGGGCCCCCCAGCUGACACCCCUGACUGCUCCUCCUCCAGAACUUGCCUGACCCCUCCCUCUGUCCUGAGCUGGACAUGGCUUCAUUGUUCAAUGAACACUCGGAGUGUGUUUUCCACGGUUUGAUGUCUGUUGUUGGUAGAAAGCCCCUUCCUUUCACAACCUUUUCGGGAGGUGUCCCCUUUCUAGAAGGAUUGCCACUGAACAGUAGACAUGUGGUGUGGCAGGUGACUGGGAGUUGCAGGGAUCAACAACUCGAGAGUUUCCUGUCAUCAUUCUUAGUGGCACAGGACAGGGCUCUGCCACAAAUGCAACAAUUUGCUGUCCCCAGAGUGGGGCUUAUGACUGCCUCCACUCAUACGGAGCCCUGUAGCUGAAAUACCUGAUCAGCUCUUCCUCCGUAUAACCUGGGAAAGCUUGUGGGGGCUAAGCCUCAGUGUCAGGGAGAAUCGUUUAGAGCUGCCCACUCCUGCGCUCCCUCUGUCCCCAUCACCCUCUCUUCUGGAGUCUGAGGUCUGAGCCAGUUAUGCCACUGCAGGAUGUUCAAUCCGGUCUGGCGGUCUGGGUGGCCCUGGAGCUUGAGCAGACACAGGUGCAGGCAGUGGUGACUCUACAGGCCCUGCUAUUCCAGGCCCCUUUGCAAGGUUGCGGCAACAAUAAAAUUUUGACGUAGACAUCCUCCAUUUGGAAGUCUGGUGGCUGGUUUGCCGUGGAAAUGACCCUGUUUUUAUUUCCAGAAUUACCUCUGGGUUUAGAGAAGUGGUUUUUAAACGAGUAUGGGUAAAAAAGAUUACCUGAGGUACUUGUCAGAAUCACAGACUCCUAGGUCCCACCCAGCUCUCAUCAAUCAGUUUAGUGAGGGUGGUGCCCAGGACUCUGAUUUUAAACAUACCCCUAGAAAGAUUCUGAUACAGGUAGAGGUGAGAAGCCCUGGUUUAGAGGCAGCUCGGCCUCCCUUCCUGGUGGGACCAGGGCCAGCAGGGAAUGUCAGAGCCACCCCUGACCUUCAUUGUGACUCUGUUGCAGAGGGUGGCCUGGAGGAGAUGGUGGAGGAGCUCAACAGUGGGAAGGUGAUGUACGCCUUCUGCAGAGUGAAGGACCCCAACUCCGGACUGCCCAAAUUUGUCCUCAUCAACUGGACAGGCGAGGGCGUGAAUGAUGUGCGGAAGGGAGCCUGCGCCAGCCACGUCAGCACCAUGGCCAACUUCCUGAAGGGGGCCCAUGUGACCAUCAACGCACGGGCCGAGGAGGAUGUGGAGCCUGAGUGCAUCAUGGAGAAGGUGGCCAAGGCUUCAGGUGCCAACUACAGCUUUCACAAGGAGAGUGGCCGCUUCCAGGAUGCGGGACCCCAGGCCCCAGUGGGCUCUGUGUACCAGAAGACCAAUGCCGUGUCUGAGAUUAAAAGGGUUGGUAAAGACAGCUUCUGGGCCAAAGCAGAGGUGAGUGCUGCCCCGGGGCGUGCUGGGCACGUGGGAGUGUUCUGCCUGCUGUGGCUCAGCUUUCCUCACAAGUGAGCUCGUGCAGCAUCCACUCUCCUUGGUGCCCAUUACAGAUGGUCACACUGAGGCUCGGGUAGGUUAAGCCACAAGGCUAAUGAGCGACUGGCUCUGGUGCCCGUCUUUGGCCAUGUGCCUAAAACCCAGUCCUGGGCAGGGGAUUAGGCUGAAGUGUCAGCACAGGGCUGAGCGGGCAGUGGCUCUCCCUGCAGAAGGAGGAGGAGAACCGUCGGCUAGAGGAAAAGCGGCGGGCCGAGGAGGCGCAGCGGCAGCUGGAGCAGGAGCGCCGGGAGCGUGAGCUGCGUGAGGCUGCACGCCGGGAGCAGCGCUAUCAGGAGCAGGGUGGCGAGGCCAGCCCCCAGAGGACGUGGGAGCAACAGCAAGAAGUGGUUUCAAGGAACCGAGAUGAGCAGGAGUCUGCCGUGUACCCAAGGGAGAUUUUCAAGCAGAAGGAGAGGGCCAUGACCACCACCUCCAUCUCCAGUCCUCAGCCUGGCAAGCUGAGGAGCCCCUUCCUGCAGAAGCAGCUCACCCAACCAGAGACCCACUUUGGCAGAGAGCCAGCUGCUGCCGUCUCAAGGCCCAGGGCAGAUCUCCCUGCUGAGGAGCCGGUGCCCAGCACUCCUCCAUGUCUGGUGCAGGCAGAAGAGGAGGCUGUGUAUGAGGAACCCCCAGAGCAGGAGACCUUCUACGAGGAGCCCCCACUGGUGCAGCAGCAAGGUGCCGGCUCUGAGCACAUUGACCACCACAAUCAGGGCCAGGGGCUCAGUGGGCAAGGGCUCUGUGCCCGUGCCCUGUACGACUACCAGGCAGCCGACGACACAGAGAUCUCCUUUGACCCCGAGAACCUCAUCACGGGCAUCGAGGUGAUCGACGAAGGCUGGUGGCGUGGCUAUGGGCCGGAUGGCCAUUUUGGCAUGUUCCCUGCCAACUACGUGGAGCUCAUUGAGUGAGGCUGAGGGCACAUCUUGCCCUUCCCCUCUCAGACAUGGCUUCCUUAUUGCUGGAAGAGGAGGCCUGGGAGUUGACAUUCGGCACUCUUCCAGGAAUGGGACCCCCAGUGAGGAUGAGGCCUCAGGGCUCCCUCCGGCUUGGCAGACUCAGCCCGUCACCCCAAAUGCGGCAAUGACCUGGUGAUUCCCACACAUCCUUCCUGCAUCCCCCGACCCUCCCAGACAGCUUGGCUCUUGCCCGUGACAGGAUACUGAGCCAAGCCCUGCCUGUGGCCAAGCCCUGCCUGUGGCCAAGCCCUGAGUGGCCACUGCCAAGCUGCGGGGAAGGGUCCUGAGCAGGGGCAUCUGGGAGGCUCCGGCUGCCUUCUGCAUUUAUUUGCCUUUUUUCUUUUUCUCUUGCUUCUAAGGGGUGGUGGCCACCACUGUUUAGAAUGACCCUUGGGAACAGUGAACAUAGAGAAUUGUUUUUAGCAGAGUUUGUGACCAAAGUCAGAGUGGAUCAUGGUGGUUUGGCAGCAGGGAAGUAGUCUUGUUGGAGCCUGCUCUGUGCUCCCCACUCCAUUUCUCUGUCCCUCUGCCUGGGCUAUGGGAAGUAGGGAUGCAGAGGGCCAAGCUCCCACCCUGGGUAUUCGAAAACAGCAGACACAACAUGUUCCUCCACGCGGCUCACUCGAUGCCUGCAGGCCUCAGUGUGUGCCUCAACUGAUUCUGACUUCAGGAAAAGUAACACAGAGUGGC